GAUUAGCUCAGUCGGUUGAGUGCCAGCAUGGUGUGCUGGCGGUCGCGGGUUCGAUUCCCGAUGGAGUGAAAACU
rnacentral:tRNA from 1 species